rnacentral:pre_miRNA from 1 species
UUGAACAAUCCAUUGAAGCAUAGAGGUAUCAAUCUAAAAGUAAUCCGGCUUUCGAUUGCCAACUGUGAACAAAAGAAUUGUACUGU